rnacentral:rRNA from 1 species
UUCCGGUUGAUCCUGCCGGACCCGACUGCUAUUUGGGUGAGGAUAAGCCAUGCGAGUUGAAUGGGAAACCUAAAGUUCCCAUGGCAAACUGCUCAGUAACACAUGAUCAACUUACCCUAUAGAGAAAAAUAACCUCGGGAAACUGGGGAUAAUGUUUCAUAGUUGAAUUGGCUUGGAAAAGUUUUUCGACGAAAGGGGUAAAAAAAAUGGUUUUUAUCUGCUAUAGGAUAGGAUCGUGUUCGAUUAUGGUUGUUGGUGAGGUAAUGGCUCACCAAGCCGAUAAUCGAUAGGGGCCGUGAGAGCGGGAGCCCCGAGAUGGGUACUGAGACAACGACCCAGGCCUUACGAGGCGCAGCAGGCGCGAAACCUCCGCAAUACACGAAAGUGUGACGGGGUUACCCAAAGUGUUCAAUUUUGAACUGUGGUAGGUGAGUAAUGUUCCCUACUAGAAAGGAGAGGGCAAGGCUGGUGCCAGCCGCCGCGGUAAAACCAGCUCUUCAAGUGGUCGGGAUAGUUAUUGGGCUUAAAGUGUCCGUAGCCGGUUUGGUAAGUUCCUGGUAAAAUCGGGUAGCUUAACUAUCUAUAUGCUAGGAAUACUACUAUACUAGAGGGCGGGAGAGGUCUGAGGUACUACAGGGGUAGGGGUGAAAUCUUAUAAUCCUUGUUGGACCACCAGUGGCGAAGGCGUCAGACUGGAACGCGCCUGACGGUGAGGGACGAAAGCCAGGGGAGCGAACCGGAUUAGAUACCCGGGUAGUCCUGGCCGUAAACGAUGCAUACUAGGUGAUGGCACGGCCAUGAGCCGUGUCAGUGCCGUAGGGAAACCGUUAAGUGUGCCGCCUGGGAAGUACGGUCGCAAGGCUAAAACUUAAAGGAAUUGGCGGGGGAGCACCACAAGGGGUGAAGCCUGCGGUUCAAUUGGAUUCAACGCCGGAAAUCACUAGUGCGGC